rnacentral:rRNA from 1 species
AGAGUUUGAUCCUGGCUCAGGAUGAACGCUAGCUACAGGCUUAACACAUGCAAGUCGAGGGGCAUCAGGAAGAAAGCUUGCUUUCUUUGCUGGCGACCGGCGCACGGGUGAGUAACACGUAUCCAACCUGCCCUUUACUCGGGGAUAGCCUUUCGAAAGAAAGAUUAAUACCCGAUAGCAUAAUGAUUCCGCAUGGUUUCAUUAUUAAAGGAUUCCGGUAAAGGAUGGGGAUGCGUUCCAUUAGGUUGUUGGUGAGGUAACGGCUCACCAAGCCUUCGAUGGAUAGGGGUUCUGAGAGGAAGGUCCCCCACAUUGGAACUGAGACACGGUCCAAACUCCUACGGGAGGCAGCAGUGAGGAAUAUUGGUCA